rnacentral:rRNA from 1 species
AUUGAACGCUGGCGGCAGGCCUAACACAUGCAAGUCGAACGGUAACAGGAAGCAGCUUGCUGCUUUUCUGACGAGUGGCGGACGGGUGAGUAAUGUCUGGGAAACUGCCCGAUGGAGGGGGAUAACUACUGGAAACGGUAGCUAAUACCGCAUAACGUCGCAAGAACAAAGAGGGGGACCUUAGGGCCUCUUGCCAUCGGGUGUGCCCAGAUGGGAUUAGCUAGUAGGUGGGGUAACGGCUCACCUAGGCGACGAUCCCUAGCUGGUCUGAGAGGAUGACCAGCGACACUGGAACUGAGACACGGUCCAGACUCCUACGGGAGGCAGCAGUGGGGAAUAUUGCACAAUGGGCGCAAGCCUGAUGCAGCCAUGCCGCGUGUAUGAAGAAGGCCUUCGGGUUGUAAAGUACUUUCAGCGGGGAGGAAGGGAGUAAAGUUAAGACCUUUGCUCAUUGACGUUACCCGCAGAAGAAGCACCGGCUAACUCCGUG